rnacentral:rRNA from 1 species
CUCCUACGGGAGGCUGCAGUGGGGAAUUUUGGACAAUGGGCGCAAGCCUGAUCCAGCCAUGCCGCGUGCAGGAUGAAGGCCUUCGGGUUGUAAACUGCUUUUGUACGGAACGAAAAGGUUUCUUUUAAUACAGGGAACUGAUGACGGUACCGUAAGAAUAAGCACCGGCUAACUACGUGCCAGCAGCCGCGGUAAUACGUAGGGUGCGAGCGUUAAUCGGAAUUACUGGGCGUAAAGCGUGCGCAGGCGGUGAUGUAAGACAGAGGUGAAAUCCCCGGGCUCAACCUGGGAACUGCCUUUGUGACUGCAUCGCUGGAGUGCGGCAGAGGGGGAUGGAAUUCCGCGUGUAGCAGUGAAAUGCGUAGAUAUGCGGAGGAACACCGAUGGCGAAGGCAAUCCCCUGGGCCUGCACUGACGCUCAUGCACGAAAGCGUGGGGAGCAAACAGGAUUAGAUACCCUGGUAGUCCACGCCCUAAACGAUGUCAACUGGUUGUUGGGAAUUAGUUUUCUCAGUAACGAAGCUAACGCGUGAAGUGACCGC